rnacentral:lncRNA from 1 species
AUCUUCAAAAAUAUUUAUAAAGCGUAAAGAUAACACUCUAAGCUGGAGUCUUAUAUAUUCGCAGUAUUGCAAUGCGUGUUAAGUGACUAGCAGAUUUGAACAUCAAAUUGGAUUUCUGCAGGAAAUGUGCGCCCAAAUGCAGGAAAAAUCCUGCAAGCCUGCAGAAAGGGCCAACGAAGGUAGACAAUGGACGCAGGUUCUAGGAGUGAUUGUCAUUGCCAUCGGGUGCAUGAGUGUGGGCUUCAUGUGGUCCUGGAGCUCCCCAUUCAGCAUGGUUCUAAGCCAGGACAAAGUCAAUUAUGAUAUAACGGAAGCCGAUACUGCAAACUUUUUGAUUUUCCAACCGCUAGGUAAGAAGCAAAAAUGCAACGCUUUGAUCAACUGAAUGUAUCCAAAGACCACCAAGCCAAAUGCAAAUUUAAUUUAGAUUCGUCGCUAUUUCCUGUAUAAAACCGCAGUAAAGAAACUACAGGGA